UAAUAAGUGUUUUACUGCACUUUUUAAAAUAAGUACUCACCUUGUGUGCAAUGUUUGCUGACGCUGUUCGUUUUACGCGUUCAACGUCAGCAUAAUACCAACCUUUUAUUUAAAUUUUUUGUCUGAAGCUAUUUCGAAUAUAUAAUUCUAAAUA
rnacentral:misc_RNA from 1 species